CCUACGGGAGGCAGCAGUGAGGAAUAUUGGUCAAUGGGCGGAAGCCUGAACCAGCCAAGUAGCGUGCGGGAUGAAGGCCCUACGGGUCGUAAACCGCUUUUGCACGGGGAUAACACCCUCCACUUGUGGAGGUCUGCAGGUACCGUGCGAAUAAGGGCCGGCUAAUUCCGUGCCAGCAGCCGCGGUAAUACGGAAGGCCCGAGCGUUAUCCGGCUUCAUUGGGCUUAAAGGGAGCGUAGGCGGGCGUUCAAGUCAGCUGUAAAAGCGCGCGGCUCAACCGCGCCCCGCAGUUGAAACUGGACGCCUUGAGUUCACAACAGGCAGGCGGAAUUCGUGGUGUAGCGAUGAAAUGCAUAGAUAUCACGAGGAACCCCGAUUGCGAAGGCAGCCUGCCGGGGUGCGACUGACGCUGAGGCUCGAAGGUGCGGGUAUCAAACAGGAUUAGAUACCCGAGUAGUC
rnacentral:rRNA from 1 species